rnacentral:rRNA from 1 species
GUGUCAGCAGCCGCGGUAAUACGGAGGGUGCGAGCGUUGUCCGGAAUCACUGGGCGUAAAGGGCGCGUAGGCGGCGCGGGCAGUCAACGGUGAAAGCUCGGGGCUCAACCCCGAGUCGGCCGUCGAUACUCCCGUGCUUGAGCACUGUAGAGGCAGGUGGAAUUCCGGGUGUAGCGGUGGAAUGCGUAGAGAUCCGGAAGAACACCGGUGGCGAAGGCGGCCUGCUGGGCAGUAGCUGACGCUGAUGCGCGACAGCGUGGGGAGCAAACAGGAUUAGAUACCCUGGUAGUCCACGCCGUAAACGAUGGGUACUAGAUGCUUGGGGGAGCGACCCUCUGAGUGUCGGCGCUAACGCAUUAAGUACCCCGCCUGGGGAGUACGGCCGCAAGGCUGAA